rnacentral:rRNA from 1 species
AUUGAACGCUGGCGGCAUGCCUUACACAUGCGAGUCGAACGGCAGCAUGAUCUAGCUUGCUAGAUUGAUGGCGAGUGGCGAACGGGUGAGUAAUACAUCGGAACGUGCCCUGUAGUGGGGGAUAACUAGUCGAAAGAUUAGCUAAUACCGCAUACGACCUGAGGGUGAAAGUGGGGGACCGCAAGGCCUCAUGCUAUAGGAGCGGCCGAUGUCUGAUUAGCUAGUUGGUGAGGUAAAGGCUCACCAAGGCGACGAUCAGUAGCUGGUCUGAGAGGACGAUCAGACACACUAGGAGUGAGACACGGCGCAGACUCUUACGGGAGGCAGCAGAGGGGGAUUUUGGAGACUGGGGGCGAGCAUGAUCCAGCAAAGCCGCGCGUGUGAAGAAGGCCUUCGGGUUGUAAAGCACUUUUGUCCGGAAAGAAAUGGCUCUGGUUAAUACCUGGGGUCGAUGACGGUACCGGAAGAAUAAGGACCGGCUAACUACGUG